AACAAUAGAAUUGGUUUCUCAAGGGUGGUCGGCUCACUCCCGCAGCAAAGGGGGUGGUGCCGUAUGACAGUGUUCGAAUCAUUAAUGUUUGCAAUCGCCUUCACGGGUUUAAUCGUAAGCAUUCUGUCAUUUAACCAAAAAAAAUAAUCCACCCUUGAGUUGACGGCUCUGGUGGAUUAUUGUGUUCAUCCAAUAGCUGACCCCCUUAAAGGGACCGUUCUAUUGUGUUGGCCGGGCAUGCUGCGAACAUGGCCG
rfam:Bacillus sp. B-jedd genome assembly, contig: CONTIG000001